AAUAUACAGGGAUUAGCAUUGAGUUGCUUCUCCAACAUACUGAAAAUUUAGAAAUAGCAGUCAAAGAACUACUGAUUCUAAACUACAAAUUUUUCUCUAAACGGAUGGCGAUAUUUAUGGCACACAUAGAACAAAAAACCGGAGGGAAAAGCAUAAACAAAACAAGUCUUUAGUUAAUUGGAUACGAUCGUUUCAUGGUUAAGAGAAUGAAAAUUUCUCUAUUCCAAAUCUUCAGUCCAAUAUUCUGAUAAUUUUGAAAGUGUCUCUAAAAAAAUUCACGGUAAUUUAUAUAUAUAUGUAUAUUUAUAAAGUAGUGACCUAGCAGAGUUGUUAGCCCAACAGGCAUAAUGCUUAGUGGCAUUUCGUUCAUCUUUACAUUGUGAGUUCAAAUUUCAGCCCAGGUUGACUUUGCCUUUCAUCCUUUCACAUUUGAUAGAAUAAGUAAAAACUGAGCAGUGGGGGCAAUGUAAUUGACUUAGCCCUCUCCUGAAAUUAUACUAAAGUUACAUUCUUAUGAUGUUUAUCUUUGCCUCAAGACAUAAAAAUGAUGAAGAUCAUGAUGAUGAUCUGUGUCCCUUUCUUUCUUUUGCAGAAAUCUAGCAAGAAAACAUUGUGGAUAUACACAGGAAUAUAUAGAGUUCAAAAAGGAAAUUGAUUACUAUUCCAAAGAUUUUGAUGGCGAAGAUGUCAGAAGAGUUGCAGCGAAACACUUCGUAGAAACUAAGAAAUCUAGCAAGAAAACAUUGUGGAUAUACGACACAAUUUGAAGACUUUAAAAAAGAAGCAAUUGAUGGUUUUAACCGCAUACAAGCCAAGAGAUAUGCAACAAAAUACUUUUUCGACUUUAAGGUUAGUUGAUAUGAUUUAUUUACUGUGCAGUAUAUUGGCAGAGUGAUAAGAGCAUCAUGUAGAAGGCUUAGCGAUAUUUGUCUUGGUUGUCUACAUUCUGAGUUCAAAUAUCAAUGCAGUUAAUUGUACCUUUCCCUUUUUGAAUUUGGUAAUAAUAAUAAUAGCAGUCCAGGAUUGCUAAAACACUUGAUUGGAUGCCUUGUGAUAUCUCAUCCUGCCCUUUCCCUUCUCACAGCCAUACUGUGAAACUGUAUUGGCCUUUGUCUUUUCCUUAGAUAACAUUGUGCUGUAGACAGAGGGAGGCUUCAAUGUACAUGCAACAGCUGGUCUUCUACACAGUUUCCAUCUACCAAAUUUUAUUCACAAGAAAUUGGUCAAACAAUUACUGUGGUAGAAAACACUUGCCCAAGUUGAUGUGCAUUGGGAUUGAAUCAGGAACCAUAUAGCUUCAAAUUAAAUAUCUUUGCCAGCCAUCCACGGCCACUUCUAUUUAAAAUACAGCCAUCCACUUUCACACCCACA